AUGAGCUCCAGGCACCCACAGCUUCACCUCAUCCUGCUACUGCUUGCAUACUACUGCUCCACCCACACCGCUGCCAGUGGUGGCAAUGGAACCACAAUCCAGUGCCUCCCUGAUCAGGCUUCAUCUCUACUCCAGAUGAAGCGCUCCUUCUUCCACAACCCCAACCUCUCGUCAUGGCAGCAUGGCACAGACUGUUGCCACUGGGAGGGUGUUGGCUGCGACAGGGCCUCUGGUCAGGUGAUCACUUUGGACCUCAGUGAUCGUAACCUGCGGAGCACCAGUGGUCUCAGCCCAGCACUAUUCAACCUCACCUCCCUCACAAAUCUCAGCCUCUCUGGUAACGACUUUGGCCUGACCAGCCUUCCUAGUUUUGGGUUUGAGCGGCUGAUCGAGCUCGUCAGUCUCAAUUUGUCUGAUGCGUGUUUUGCUGGUCAGAUAGCCAUUGGAAUUUCCCACCUCAAGAAUUUGCGUUCGCUUGAUCUUUCCUAUAAUACUGAUUUGUAUCUUCAAGACCCAAGUUUCCAAACCCUCGUAGCAAACCUGAGCAAUCUGAGAGAGCUUUAUCUUGAUAGAGUGAGCAUCUUAAGUGGCGAAGCAAAUUGGUCCGUUGCUUUAGCAGACUCUGUUCCGCUACUACAGAAUAUUAGUUUGUCUACGUGUGAACUAAGUAGUCCGAUCCACCAUUCAUUCUCCCAACUCCGUUUUCUAACAACGAUCAACCUCGCAGAUAAUGAAAUUUCUGGUCAGGUUCCUGGGUUCUUUGCAAAAUUCUCUUUCUUACCGAAAAAGGGUUUCCCCCCGCUUUAUAAAUAA
rnacentral:rRNA from 1 species